ensembl:snRNA U6 U6 spliceosomal RNA
GUGCUCGCUUUGGCAGCACAUAUACUAAAAUUGGAACCAUACAGAGAAGAUUAGCAUGGCCCCUGCACAAGGAUGACAUGCAAAUUCGUGAAGCAUUCCAUAUUUUU